rnacentral:pre_miRNA from 1 species
AUUAAGUGAACUAGUUGUAGGGCUUCUCUCCUCUGGCACGAUCAUCACUAAUAGAUUCCAACUUGGUUUCUCUAUUUUUUGAUGAUCCGCCAAAGGAGAGUUGCCCUUUAACUUCUUCAACUUAAU